rnacentral:rRNA from 1 species
CGUAGGUGAACCUGCGGAAGGAUCAUUACCUAGAGUUUGUGGACUUCGGUCUGCUACCUCUUACCCAUGUCUUUUGAGUACCUUCGUUUCCUCGGCGGGUCCGCCCGCCGGUUGGACAACAUUCAAACCCUUUGCAGUUCCAAUCAGCGUCUGAAAAAACUUAAUAGUUACAACUUUCAACAACGGAUCUCUUGGUUCUGGCAUCGAUGAAGAACGCAGCGAAAUGCGAUAAGUAGUGUGAAUUGCAGAAUUCAGUGAAUCAUCGAAUCUUUGAACGCACAUUGCGCCCCUUGGUAUUCCAUGGGGCAUGCCUGUUCGAGCGUCAUUUGUACCUUCAAGCUCUGCUUGGUGUUGGGUGUUUUGUCUCGCCUCCGCGCGCAGACUCGCCUUAAAACAAUUGGCAGCCGGCGUAUUGAUUUCGGAGCGCAGUACAUCUCGCGCUUUGCACUCAUAACGACGACGUCCAAAAGUACAUUUUUACACUCUUGACCUCGGAUCAGGUAGGGAUACCCGCUGAACUUA